AACGAACGUUGGCGGCGUGGAUUAGGCAUGCAAGUCGAACGAAUCCCCGGUAGCUUGCUACCGGGGGGAAGUGGCGAAAGGGGCAGUAAUGCGUGGGUAACCUACCCCGGGGACGUGGAUAGCCCUCCUAACGGAGGGGUAAUACACGGCGAUCUGGUUGGGAGGCAUCUCCUGUUCAGGAAAUGAAUCUCGCCUCGGGAGGGGCUCACGUCGUAUUAGCUUGUUGGUGAGGUAACGGCUCACCAAGGCGAAGAUGCGUAGCGGGUGUGAGAGCACGACCCGCGCCACUGGCACUGAGACACUGGCCAGACUCCUACGGGAGGCUGCAGUCGAGGAUCUUCGGCAAUGGGCGCAAGCCUGACCGAGCGACGCCGCGUGUGCGAUGAAGGCCUUCGGGUUGUAAAGCACUGUCGAGGGGGAGUAAGCCCGCAAGGGUUGAACUAUCCCUGGAGGAAGCACGGGCUAAGUUCGUGCCAGCCGCCGCCGUAAUAC
rnacentral:rRNA from 1 species